CCUACGGGUGGCUGCAGUGAGGAAUAUUGGUCAAUGGACGCAAGUCUGAACCAGCCAUGCCGCGUGCAGGAAGACGGCUCUAUGAGUUGUAAACUGCUUUUGUACGAGGGUAAACGCAGAUACGCGUAUCUGGCUGAAAGUAUCGUACGAAUAAGGAUCGGCUAACUCCGUGCCAGCAGCCGCGGUAAUACGGAGGAUUCAAGCGUUAUCCGGAUUUAUUGGGUUUAAAGGGUGCGUAGGCGGGCGUUUAAGUCAGCGGUAAAAUGUCGGGGCUCAACCCCGUCCGGCCGGUGACACUGGGGGCCUUGAGUGGGCGAGAAGAAGGCGGAAUGUGUGGUGUAGCGGUGAAAUGCAGAGAGAUCACGCAGAACACCGAUUGCGAAGGCAGCCUUCCG
rnacentral:rRNA from 1 species